UACGUAGGGUGCGAGCGUUGUCCGGAAUUAUUGGGCGUAAAGAGCUCGUAGGCGGUUUGUCGCGUCUGCUGUGAAAACUCGGGGCUUAACCCCGGGCCUGCAGUGGGUACGGGCAGACUAGAGUGCGGUAGGGGAGACUGGAAUUCCUGGUGUAGCGGUGAAAUGCGCAGAUAUCGAGGAGGAACGACCGGUGGCGGAAGGCGGGUCUCUGGGCCGAUACUGACGCUGGAGGAGCGAAAGCGUGGGGAGCGAACAGG
rnacentral:rRNA from 1 species